AUCUAUGAGGGUGCAGAUUUGAUCCCUGGCCUCGCUCAGUGGGUUAAGGAUGUGGCAUCGCCAUGCGUUCUGUGUUACUGUGGCUUUGGGGUAGGCUGCCAGCUGUAGCUCUGAUUAGAUGCCUAGCCUAGGAACUUCCAUAUGCUGCGGGUGUGGGCCUGACAAAGAAAAUACUGCAAAGGCUCCACAGCAAUGUAAAGGAAGGACAAAUUUCUCCCUGUGAUGUGCAAGGCCCUUCAGGAUGCUGCCCUGACCACUGUUUUCAGUGCCACCUCCAUUAGGCACCUACUUCCCAGCCUCCCUGGUCCAUUUGUCAAAGUACCUUCUCACCACUGUCUUUUCUUUUCUAGAAUGCCCUUUCUGCUUCCUCGACUUAAUGAAAGGCAACUCGUUUUUCAAUUUGGGUCACCAAAUACCACCUUGCUUCGAAAUCUUCCCUCUCUCCCCUUCAGUUGAGAAAGGAGGCUGCCAAGAAGUCAGAACAAUGGAAGCUAAGCAAAGAUACAGAAUCAAUUUCUGAAGACCACGAGGGAAGAAGCUGAUGAAGACUCUAUGUAUAGUACAUAAUGGGACGUUUCAUCCCUGGAAAGAUAAUAUUAAUAACUGCUGGAGGAGGGGAGAACUGUGGAGCAAAGAAUCUUGAGGGUGAGCAGUGCUGCUCAAACCACCUGUGGCAAUAGAUCAGUUUUAAAUUUCCAAUCCAGGAGUUCCCGUCGUGGCGCAGUGGUUAACGAAUCCGACUAGGAACCAUGAGGUUGCGGGUUCGGUCCCUGCCCCUGCUCAGUGGGUUAACGAUCUGGCGUUGCCGUGAGCUGUGGUGUAGGUUGCAGACGCGGCUCAGAUCCCGCGUUGCUGUGGCUCUGGCGUAGGCCAGUGGCUACAGCUCCGAUUCGACCCCUAGCCUGGGAACCUCCAUAUGCCACGGGAACGGCCCAAAGAAAUAGCAAAAAGACAAAAAAUAAAAAAUAAAAAUAAAUAAAUAAAUUUCCA
rnacentral:lncRNA from 1 species